GAGAAAUCGCAAUUAAAGCCAUUGUUAUUAUUGAAGAUAAAGAUACUCUAACACUGAGUGUUAAUGUGGAAACAAGUGUGUGUUUGUUUGCUAUAACUUAUCAUUCGUAAAUAUUAUUUGUUUGUUGUAAGUAUACAAUAGUGUAAUUCUGUAUCGGUUAGAAUGUUGUAUUUUCAAGUAUGCUGCGGGUACCCCCAUUCCUGUCCACUAAAGACCACGUCGAGUCUCCUCUCCGAAUGAGAAAGGCUUAGGCUAAAGUCCACCACGCUGGCCAAGUGCAGAUUAGCAGACUUCACACAUCUUUGAGAACAUUAUGGAGAACACUGAGGCGUGCAGGUUUCCCUACGAUGUUUUCCUGAACCGUAAAAGCAAGUAACAUUUUUAAUUGCUUAAAAUGCACAUAGCUCCGAAAAGUUCGAUCCCCGGACUCCCCGAA